AUACGGAGGGUGCGAGCGUUGUUCGGAAUUACUGGGCGUAAAGCGGGUGUAGGCGGUGGACCAAGUCAGGUGUGAAAGCCCUCGGCUCAACCGAGGAAGUGCAUCUGAAACUGGUUCACUCGAGUACGGGAGAGGAGAGUGGAAUUCCCAGUGUAGAGGUGAAAUUCGUAGAUAUUGGGAGGAACACCGGUGGCGAAGGCGGCUCUCUGGAACGAUACUGACGCUGAGACCCGAAAGCGUGGGGAGCAAACAGGAUUAGAAACCCUAGUAGUCC
rnacentral:rRNA from 1 species